rnacentral:rRNA from 1 species
UACGGAGGAUGCGAGCGUUAUCCGGAUUCAUUGGGUUUAAAGGGUGCGUAGGCGGAUUGAUAAGUCAGUGGUGAAAUCCUGCAGCUUAACUGUAGCAUUGCCAUUGAUACUGUUGGUCUUGAGUUUGGUUAAGGUAGGCGGAAUGUGUAAUGUAGCGGUGAAAUGCUUAGAUAUUACCCAGAACACCAAUUGCGAAGGCAGCUUACUGGACCGAUACUGACGCUGAUGCACGAAAGCGUGGGGAGCAAACAGGAUUAGAUACCCUAGUAGUCC